CCUACAGGGUCCCAGUCCGGGAGAGGCAGGCAGGUCCCUAAACUGGGGACUCCUUCCCAGGGAGAAGAAAUUCCCUUUCGCAACACCAGAGGGCGCAGUCGCCACUCUCACGGGAGCCCUGCCCAGCUCUAACCUCUUGGCUCUCCAUUCACUCUCGGCCCUUCCAGGCCCCACCUGGGGCCUGGGGCCUGUGCUACAGCAGAAGCGGCCGGGGGGCUCCGUGAGGCGCAGGUGUUCACCAGAUACCUCACGGUUCCGCAGGGCCAGAUCCUGAAUCCCAGACUUUGGGCCUGCCUGGGGCUCCCCUGAGAGGAAACCCUGAAGCCUGAGGAGCUCCAUACCUGUGUUUUAAAAAUCACAACUCCAGGCCACCUCCUCCUGAAAGCCUUUCUGGAUUAUGCCAGACUGCACCCGUCUACACAGUCCGGAGUGCAGUUGGAUUGGGGGAAAGACAUCUGAAUUUCCAGGCUUCGACUCUUCCCUGGGUCCCUGAAUUAUCAAAGAAUUCCGCGGGAUGGUUCUGUGGUUUUCAUAGCAGAUUAUCUGGGUCCUUGUUUACUUUUGGGCUCUUCCCUCUGACUCAGGGCCCAGACUUUCUGGGAAGGGAGGGGAAAGGGAGGGGUAGCACGCGGCGAGCUGACUGUGGGGUUAUUUCUGACCCUGGAGUCAUCAGCUUCCCAGUCACAGACAGACUGGAGCGGGGUGAGGGGGUGGGGUGGGGGUGGGGGGUGUCAUGCCUCCCUCUUCUUGGCCUCCCAGAACCCAAGGUGCUUAGCAGGCUCCGGAGAUCCUGACAUUUAGACCAGGAAGGUGAGGGGUGUCAGGGGGACCAUCCAGAGCACACAUGAAGGAAGCCUUUUGCCCAGGCUCUGGGUCUAAGGCCGUGCAGGUGCAUUCUGUUACCUGGCAGAAAAGGUCUUCCUUCUGACAUCCUGGAUGCCCCCUGGUGCCAGGGAGCGAUCCAGGCACUGCUCACUUUUUCCACUGAGUCAGCGUGAGUCAUGCUGCACUAACCUGGGGGCAGAGAGAGGGGCAUCUGGGGACCCCUUCUCUCACAUCCACUCCCUCUUUUGGCUUCCCCUGUCCUUUUCUACCCCUCUGCCUGCUCCCCAGGCUUUUCCUGACCCUCUGGUUUGUUCUUAUCAAAUACACCGUGCUUUUCAAUGUAGUCACCACUAGCCAUGGGGGAUUCUUACUUAUGUUUAAAUGGAGUGAAAUGAAGUAAAAUUAAACCUCCAGUUACUCCAUCACGCGAGCCACAUUUUGAGUGCUCCAUAGAAACAUACUGGACACAUCCUUGUGGAAAGUUCUUUUGCACUGCUACUGACACUGAAAAUCUCAACAGGGCGUGUUUCCCUCUUUGCCUUGGCUGUUAGGAAGCUCCGAGCUACAUCCAUAGUCUAGCAAGGAGACUUUGUGUGCUGCGUCCUGUGUAAUGAGGGUCUGUCUCUGAGAGGUUCCCAGAAUAAAGGACUUUCAGUUUUAUUUUAUUUACUUUUUUAAAAAAUGUUUAUUUUUGAGAGAGAGAGAGAGAGAGAGAGUGUGCACACAAGGGGGGAAGGGCA